GACGAACGCUGGCGGCGUGCCUAAUACAUGCAAGUCGAACGCUUCUUUUCCCACCGGAGCUUGCUCCACCGGGAAAAGAGGAGUGGCGAACGGGUGAGUAACACGUGGGUAACCUGCCCAUCAGAAGGGGAUAACACUUGGAAACAGGUGCUAAUACCGUAUAACAAUCGAAACCGCAUGGUUUCGUUUUGAAAGGCGCUUUACGGUGCCGCUGAUGGAUGGACCCGCGGUGCAUUAGCUAGUUGGUGAGGUAACGGCUCACCAAGGCCACGAUGCAUAGCCGACCUGAGAGGGUGAUCGGCCACAUUGGGACUGAGACACGGCCCAAACUCCUACGGGAGGCAGCAGUAGGGAAUCUUCGGCAAUGGACGAAAGUCUGACCGAGCAACGCCGCGUGAGUGAAGAAGGUUUUCGGAUCGUAAAACUCUGUUGUUAGAGAAGAACAAGGGUGAGAGUAACUGUUCACCCCUUGACGGUAUCUAACCAGAAAGCCACGGCUAACUACGUGCCAGCAGCCGCGGUAAUACGUAGGUGGCAAGCGUUGUCCGGAUUUAUUGGGCGUAAAGCGAGCGCAGGCGGUUUCUUAAGUCUGAUGUGAAAGCCCCCGGCUCAACCGGGGAGGGUCAUUGGAAACUGGGAGACUUGAGUGCAGAAGAGGAGAGUGGAAUUCCAUGUGUAGCGGUGAAAUGCGUAGAUAUAUGGAGGAACACCAGUGGCGAAGGCGGCUCUCUGGUCUGUAACUGACGCUGAGGCUCGAAAGCGUGGGGAGCAAACAGGAUUAGAUACCCUGGUAGUCCACGCCGUAAACGAUGAGUGCUAAGUGUUGGAGGGUUUCCGCCCUUCAGUGCUGCAGCUAACGCAUUAAGCACUCCGCCUGGGGAGUACGACCGCAAGGUUGAAACUCAAAGGAAUUGACGGGGGCCCGCACAAGCGGUGGAGCAUGUGGUUUAAUUCGAAGCAACGCGAAGAACCUUACCAGGUCUUGACAUCCUUUGACCACUCUAGAGAUAGAGCUUCCCCUUCGGGGGCAAAGUGACAGGUGGUGCAUGGUUGUCGUCAGCUCGUGUCGUGAGAUGUUGGGUUAAGUCCCGCAACGAGCGCAACCCUUAUUGUUAGUUGCCAUCAUUUAGUUGGGCACUCUAGCAAGACUGCCGGUGACAAACCGGAGGAAGGUGGGGAUGACGUCAAAUCAUCAUGCCCCUUAUGACCUGGGCUACACACGUGCUACAAUGGGAAGUACAACGAGUCGCGAAGUCGCGAGGCUAAGCUAAUCUCUUAAAGCUUCUCUCAGUUCGGAUUGUAGGCUGCAACUCGCCUACAUGAAGCCGGAAUCGCUAGUAAUCGCGGAUCAGCACGCCGCGGUGAAUACGUUCCCGGGCCUUGUACACACCGCCCGUCACACCACGAGAGUUUGUAACACCCGAAGUCGGUGAGGUAACCUUU
rnacentral:rRNA from 1 species